rnacentral:rRNA from 1 species
UACAGAGGUGGCAAGCGUUGUUCGGAAUUACUGGGCGUAAAGGGCGCGUAGGCGGCCUUCUAAGUCAGACGUGAAAUCCCCCGGCUUAACCUGGGAACUGCGUCUGAUACUGGGAGGCUUGAGUAUGGGAGAGGGAUGUAGAAUUCCAGGUGUAGCGGUGAAAUGCGUAGAUAUCUGGAGGAAUACCGGUGGCGAAGGCGGCAUCCUGGACCAUAACUGACGCUGAGGCGCGAAAGCUAGGGGAGCAAACGGGGAUUAAGAUACC